rnacentral:rRNA from 1 species
UACGGAGGGGACUAGCGUUGUUCGGAAUUACUGGGCGUAAAGCGCACGUAGGCGGAUUUGUAAGUCAGGGGUGAAAUCCCCGGGCUCAACCCGGGAACUGCGUCCGAUACUGGCAGGCUUGAAUUCGGGAGAGGGAUGCGGAAUUCCAGGUGUAGCGGUGAAAUGCGUAGAUAUCUGGAGGAACACCGGUGGCGAAGGCGGCAUCCUGGACCGAGAUUGACGCUGAUGCGCGAAAGCCAGGGGAGCAAACGGG